rnacentral:rRNA from 1 species
CCUACGGGGGGCUGCAGUGGGGAAUAUUGCACAAUGGGGGAAACCCUGAUGCAGCGACGCCGCGUGAGUGAGGAAGUAUUUCGGUAUGUAAAGCGCUAUCAGCAGGGAAGAAAAUGACGGUAACUGACUAAGAAGCCCCGGCUAACUACGUGCCAGCAGCCGCGGGAAUACGUAGGGGGCAAGCGGUAUCCGGAUUUACAGGGGGAAAAGGGAGCGGAGACGGCUAAUCAAGUCAGAUGUGAAAAACCCGGGCUCAAACUUGGGAAUGCUUUUGAAACUGAGUAGCUAGAGUGCAGGAGAGGUAAGCGGAAUUCCUAGUGUAGCGGUGAAAUGCGUAGAUAUUAGGAGGAACACCAGUGGCGAAGGCGGCUUACUGGACUGUAACUGACGUUGAUGCUCGAAAGCGUGGGGAGCAAACAGGAUUAGAUACCCCGGUAGUC